rnacentral:antisense_RNA from 1 species
AAUACUCAGAUUUGACAAUGGUGCAUACUGAGUACGCAGUUGAAGGCAUUGGUUUAUCCUGACAUUCACAACAUUCUCUCUUAAUCCUCACAACGUCGGAUGGUACUGGCUGAGUUUUACCGAACCUGAAGUGCCGGGAGACUACAUAACUUACUCAUGGAUCCAUAGCUAGCAAGCUGCAAAGCUGGGAGUCACAACUCAAGAGACUAUUCCACACCAAAGACUGGACAAAUGGUUUCAUGAAAUGUUUCCCAGCUUUGUUAGGCUGAUACCGAGAAACAGCUGCUCUUCACUUCUCCCAACUGAAAACUCCAGUUAUUAUCAUUAAAACACCACCCCACUAAAACCUGCAGAAGAUCCACCCGCUCUGAGGAAAGACCUCCACUGAUAGUACUGUGGAAUAUUGGGUUGGAGGGAUUUAAAGUAGAACGUGGGAGACCAGACAGAAGUCUACAGCAAAAGGCCAGGCAAAAACUUGAUGAGAGCCUAGAAUACAGAAGUGGCAAAAAAGAAAACUUCAAAUGUCACAGUACAAAUCCUAUUGUUCACUAUCCUGGGUCCCAUCUCAAGCAACGUGCAUAUUAUAUAUAUUCCCAGCUUCUGGACACAGAACACAGUGAUCCCUCAAUUAGUGGAUACUUGUGAUAUGAAAGAACUGAGGAUUUGGGAGGAGUGCAGAGGAGUAACAUUGGUCACUGGCAGAAAGAGAAGAGGAAGGAGCAGGAAGGGAGCAGAAAGGAAGAACUGAGAAAAUCACUAUCUGUGAUAUUUUAUUUCUUAGGACAAGAAGAUCUAAAAAAAAAAAAGGCAAUGUCAGUGAUGAAAAGUGGGUGAUGAAUACAUAGGGAAGAAGCCAGUUGAGAUUUUUAAAAAAAAAUCUUGAAACACAAACUUGGACAUUGGAGCCUUAGCUUUUAGAAUCCUCCCUCAAAGAAAGAAAAAUACAUGUUUUUCUCCCCCACUAUAUUGUCACUUCCUCGAGGAAGGACAAGGGCUCAUGUAUUCUGUUUAUCUGCAUGCCUAGAGCCUGACCCAAUUCAUUUGUUUGUUCUAUUUUG